rnacentral:misc_RNA from 1 species
CGCACAUUGCGCCCGCCAGUAUUCUGGCGGGCAUGCCUGUUCGAGCGUCAUUACAACCCUCAGGCCCCCGGGCCUGGCGUUGGGGAUCGGCGGAAGCCCCCUGUGGGCACACGCCGUCCCUCAAAUACAGUGGCGGUCCCGCCGCAGCUUCCAUUGCGUAGUAGCUAACACCUCGCAGCUGGAGAGCGGCGCGGCCAUGCCGUAAAACACCCAACUUCUGAAUGUUGACCUCGAAUCAGGUAGGAAUACCCGCUGAACUUAA